rnacentral:rRNA from 1 species
UACGUAGGGCGCGAGCGUUGUCCGGAUUUAUUGGGCGUAAAGAGCUCGUAGGCGGUUUGUCGCGUCGACUGUGAAAACCCGCGGCUUAACUGCGGGCCUGCAGUUGAUACGGGCAGGCUAGAGUUCGGUAGGGGAGACUGGAAUUCCUGGUGUAGCGGUGAAAUGCGCAGAUAUCAGGAGGAACACCGGUGGCGAAGGCGGGUCUCUGGGCCGAUACUGACGCUGAGGAGCGAAAGCAUGGGGAGCGAACAGG